GGGAUUGCCCUAGUAACGGCGAGUGAAGCGGCAACAGCUCAAAUUUGAAAUCUGGCCCUCGGGUCCGAGUUGUAAUUUGUAGAGGAUGCUUUUGGCGCGGUGCCUUCCGAGUUCCCUGGAACGGGACGCCUUAGAGGGUGAGAGCCCCGUACGGUUGGACACCAAGCCUCUGUAAAGCUCCUUCGACGAGUCGAGUAGUUUGGGAAUGCUGCUCUAAAUGGGAGGUAAAUUUCUUCUAAAGCUAAAUAUUGGCCAGAGACCGAUAGCGCACAAGUAGAGUGAUCGAAAGAUGAAAAGCACUUUGAAAAGAGGGUUAAAUAGCACGUGAAAUUGUUGAAAGGGAAGCGUUUGCGACCAGACCUUUUCCUAGCGGAUCAUCCGGUGUUCUCACCGGUGCACUUCGCUAGGUCGAGGCCAGCAUCGGUUUUCGUAGGGGGAUAAAAGCCCUGGGAACGUAGCUCCUCCGGGAGUGUUAUAGCCCUUUGCAUAAUACCCUUACGGGGACCGAGGACCGCGCUUUUGGCAAGGAUGCUGGCGUAAUGGUCGUCAACGACCCGUCUUGAAACACGGACCAAGGAGUCGAACAUUUGUGCGAGUGUUUGGGUGUUAAACCCUCACGCGUAAUGAAAGUGAACGGAGGUGAGAGCCCUUACGGGUGCAUCAUCGACCGAUCCUGAUGUCUUCGGAUGGAUUUGAGUAAGAGCAUAACUGUUCGGACCCGAAAGAUGGUGAACUAUGCGUGGAUAGGGUGAAGCCAGAGGAAACUCUGGUGGAGGCUCGCAGCGGUUCUGACGUGCAAAUCGAUCGUCAAAUCUGCGCAUGGGGGCGAAAGACUUAUCGAACCAUCUAGUAGCUGGUUACCGCCGAAGUUUCCCUCAGGAUAGCAGUGUUGUUCUUCAGUUUUAUGAGGUAAAGCGAAUGAUUAGGGACUCGGGGGCGCUUUUUAGCCUUCAUCCAUUCUCAAACUUUAAAUAUGUAAGAAGCCCUUGUUACUUAAUUGAACGUGGGCAUUCGAAUGUACCAACACUAGUGGGCCAUUUUUGGUAAGCAGAACUGGCGAUGCGGGAUGAACCGAACGCGGGGUUAAGGUGCCGGAGUGGACGCUCAUCAGACACCACAAAAGGUGUUAGCACAUUUAGACAAUAGGACGGUGGCCAUGGAAGUCGGAAUCCGCUAAGGACUGUGUAACAACUCACCUAUCGAAUGUGCUAGCCCUGAAAAUGGAUGGCGCUCAAGCGUCCCACCCAUACCUCGCCCUCAGGGUAGAAACGAUGCCCUGAGGAGUAGGCGGCCGUGGGGGUCAGUGACGAAGCCUAGGGCGGAGCCCGU
rnacentral:rRNA from 1 species